CAGGUAGAAGCCAAGAAGGCACCUAACUGUUAAUUAGGCAACUGUUAAAGUUCUUAACCUACCUGG
rnacentral:tRNA from 1 species